rnacentral:misc_RNA from 1 species
UCAUUCGCCGCUCUCGCUGUCACUCCUGCCACAUAUGCCGACAAGGGCACCACAGAGGUUUGCGUGUGACCUUUUUUCUUCGCUGUUUCGGGUGCCGUGGAUGCCGCUAUCUGUUGACUCUAGCGCAACCCUUCUUGCAGUUGCGCUAGUCGUUGUGCAUAUCGUGAUUCUCGGCGGCAUCUUCGCCCAUUUAUGGUCGCAUGCUCCGAAGAAGCACGUGCAAGCCCCUUUGUCGGCAGAGGAGCGCGUCGCGAUUCGUCAAAAGAUGCGCAAGAGCCACUGAUGGUCUCAGCCUCGUCGGUGGUGCUGGCGUGUGUCGCGGUUUUAUUGCCGCUGAGAGCCUGCGACAAGAAUGGAAGAUGGAACGGGUGCUCAAAAAAUGAUAUGCUGACGCGGAGCGAGUCAGCGUGCACUCUGCCACUUCAAUGGCAUGCUUCGCCACGCACUGAUCUUCUCUUCGCCCCGUUGUGAUUCCCUGCUCAUUUGAGAUCUCAAAACGGGUCAUUGUAGGCCUUUGCCUCCUCCCACCCCACCCCCACUCAUCCACCGCCUUGAUGAUUGCCCGCGAGGACGGGGGAAUCACUCUCGGGCGACGGCCACAAAAAGAGGCGGAGACACUCGAGCCCACCUGCUCGCUCGAGUCGUGCCACCGAGGGCGCCGGCGGAGGGGUACCGGAUCGGUGCGCUCCCCCACGCUCAACCGGACAUUCGCCCGCCAAGCCAGGAUCGGUUGAUGCGCGGGGGUGGGUCGUGCGGUUCACUUUCCGGCUUCCUUCUCUCUCUUCUUCUGCUCUCCACUUUGUCGUGAGUGUGUGCCAUCCUCCGACCGCGCCCCACUACCUCUUGAUUGCAUCAG